ACGCUCGACACCUACGGGAGGCAGCAGUGAGGAAUAUUGGUCAAUGGGCGCUAGCCUGAACCAGCCAAGUAGCGUGAAGGAUGAAGGCUCUAUGGGUCGUAAACUUCUUUUAUAUAAGAAUAAAGUGCAGUAUGUAUACUGUUUUGUAUGUAUUAUAUGAAUAAGGAUCGGCUAACUCCGUGCCAGCAGCCACGGUAAUCUGAGCGGGCUGGCAAGGC
rnacentral:rRNA from 1 species